GCAAGACAGACACAGCUCUGGGUAAAUGCGAUCCUGAAAGCUUCAUUCUGCACAAGCUAUAAAAAUCUCACAGAGCAGCUUUUAAGAUGCCAAAUGUAAACAAGAAGCGACGGCAACGUUCAGAGAACCACGGUCAUCACACCAGUCUUACCAGAAGAGUCUCCUCACAGGCGUUCCUGUCCGUCUUUAUUUUCUUGUUCGUGUUUGUCACAGCCAAGACUCUGCUCCAGGACAAUCGAGGGCACCAGCCCGGAGUGCCCCCGCCAGACACGGACGCUGGCCUCAGCCGACGCUGACCACGAAUCACCUUACAGGAGAAGAAAGUCGCGCUCCUCGGAUGUGUGCAGGUACAGGGAGCGGCAACUGAGGGGCGGUAUUAGGAGAAGCGUGCUGUGUGAUUAGAGCAUCUAAAAAGGCUACCGCUGUCCUAUUAUUACUAUCCCUGCUCCCUGCUCCAGGGCAGGACUACAGCCGGAGACACCCGGGAGAACCCAAGUCUCCUCUGCAUAGCUCCCCAUCGUUCUAGGGUCACAGUGAAUUGCUACUUGUUUUGCUGUUGCUCUGCAUGAAGGUGAGGCGAGCUCGGGUGUGGGAUCUUUGCCGCCCAGAGCAGCAAGGAUCAGGCCGAAGCUCAGUUUCUCCUGGAGUCUCAUUUCUGUCCACUUAUUAAUGCAUUUGCCUUAUGCUGUCGUGGCUCGCAGGAGAGACUAGGGUUUGACUGCAGAGGUCUAGGAAGGCUCCCUCUCCCCGGCCCCACACUCCCGUCAGAUGGCUCGGAAGGCUUCUGGGCCACACAGCCAGGUACCGGAACGUGCCUGUCAUGCGCUCGACCUAAGACCCAGUAGCCAGACCCGCGACUGAAAGGAAGACGGGUUUAUCUUGGCGCAGUUCGUAGGGGUUUCAGGCCAUGUUCGGCUGGCAGGACGGCAGGGCGGAGGGGCCUGGCUGAGGAGAGCUGCUCACUGCACGCAGGGGCACGGGAAGCAGAGGGCCAGGGAGGGGAUGGAAAACCUUUCCCCAGCCAGACCCACGAACAGUAGGUCAGUACAAGCUCCGCGAUUCAGCCCCCUUCCAGACUCCAGUUUUGAGGGAAAGGCUUUGAGGGCAACCAGCUCUAAACCUAACCACAAUAAACUGCCUCAGGGGACAGAGCUGGGCUUCCAGCCUGGCCUGUUUUUUUUUUUUUUCUUUGAGACAGGGUCUCAUUGUAGUUG